ensembl:snoRNA SNORD42 Small nucleolar RNA SNORD42
GUGCAUAUGAUGGAAAAAUUUUAAUUUCCUGACACUUGUGAUGUCUGCAAAGGAACCGCUGAUGCAC